AUUGAACGCUGGCGGCAAGCCUAACACAUGCAAGUCGAACGAGUGGCGGACGGGUGAGUAAUGUCUGGGAAACUGCCUGAUGGAGGGGGAUAACUACUGGAAACGGUAGCUAAUACCUCAUACCAUCGGAUGUGCCCAUAUGGGAUUAGCUUGUAGGUGGGGUAACGGCUCACCUAGGCGACGAUCCCUAGCUGGUCUGAGAGGUUGACCCGCCACACUGGGACUGAGACACGGUCCAGAGUGCUACGGGAGGCAGGAGUGGGGAAUAUUGCACAAUGGGCGCAAGCCUGAUACAGCCAUGGCGCGUGUAUGAAGAAGGCCUUCGGGUUGUAAAGUACUUUCAGCGGGGAGGCGUUACCCGCAGAAGAAGCACCGGCUAACUCCGUGCCAGCAGCCGCGGUAAUUC
rnacentral:rRNA from 1 species